rnacentral:lncRNA from 1 species
AUCUGACAGGAGUUUGAUGUACUGAUUGAGGCCAUGCUGGACGCUCCUUAUAAAAAGGAGGAGGUGAUAGUCCCUGCACCACCCUUAGAAUUGGAUGAUAAGAGCAUGGUUGCGGAUCCUCAGUCUGAACACUCCGUAGUUGACACCAGGAUGGACACCAAGAAGUCGUAGGAGCCAAAGUCAUGAUCAUCUGCAGCGAGCCAGAAGCUGAAGAUGGAACCGUUGUCAUAAUGAUGAACCAUGAAGUCAAGACUGGCAUCGUGAGGACCGUGUGUGCUAUGGGAGUCCUCCACUUGCCACUGGGCAGAGAAGGACUUACUGGCAGCCAGGACCAACAACCUGCGGAGGGUAGUGGUGGGCUGAUGCGUCCCUGUGUGGACUGCUUGCACUCGGUAGCACUGAGGACAUACUCCGCGGCAUCUGUGAGCCCUUCAGCAAAGCUCUGGAAUUCAGCUGUCAACCACAGCUUCAGCCGCCCAGGCUGCUGCCUUGCAACUGAACGGGGCGGUUCCCUUGGGAGCUUGGAAGCCAGUGGCUCUGACUGAUAGACUUAAAUUGGGAGAGGGAGGUGGUGUUUGGGCUUGGGAAGAGGGAGUGCUCUGCUCACUCAGCUACUCCGUUCUUUGUUCUAGCUCAGAGUCCAGCCUGGGCCUCACCUCACAGGCAGUUGCAUCCCUGUGCUUCCAUCUCUGCAGCUUUUUCACUCCCGACCAUGUGAGUCUCAGGCCCUGGUUUAUUCUAGUGUCUGGCUUUCUUGUGGCUUCCAUUUACCCUUUUCCUUGCCAGAGGUAAAUCAGUGGCACAGCACCCUGCCUCCCUGUGCCUGUGAAUCCUGCUGCUUGCUUCUUCAUAUCUACACUGCUCCUGCCUGACUUCCGUUUUGUGGACCAAGCCGUCCUGAGGACAAGGACAUUGACUGCAGGAAUUGGGGCCACUCAGAAAUGAAGAAAGCUGCUGCCCGUACCGCUUUGGGAAUGGACUGGUUCAGCAAAGCCCCCAGCUGGAGAGAUCAGGAUCCACACCUACACUGAGUACCAAGAUGACUUUCCUGCCCUUUCCCACCAAGUCUCAGUGAUUCCUGGCUCCGCCCCCACUGGGAAGGCCAAGGGGCAUUAACACAUGGGUUAACCUCUCUCCAUUCCCUGUACCCUCACCUGUAACCUGUUAUAGGAAACGUGGUGGACCUCUAGAUCCGGAAGACCCUGGAGUCCAGGGUGUGCACCAGCGCUGGCUUUCGGCUGCAAGGACCCUGGAAGAUCACGUGAACAUGUGCACGUGGAGCCUGCCUUAGGCCUCAGUUUGGUGCAGCUGAAGGGCAAGAACUGCUACUGCAGGCUCAGGCUCUUGCUGGGAGGAGUAGGGAACAUCUGUCUUGCGAGGCAGCUGGGAUGCCUCAGGGGCUUUUGGAGUUCAGGAAAAGAAGGUGAGGCACCUUUCCAGUCUCUUCAUCUUCCUUUGCGUACCCCCCAGCUCCUCCCGUUGGCUUAGGCUGGGAGGAUGGCGCGGGUGCUGAUGCUCCUCACUUCUUCCUGUGUGCCUCCACUGUGGCCUCACCCCCAGUGGUUAAAGCCCCUCCUACCCCUACCUGGGCAUGUGUGAGCCCUUCUCACUGGGUUUUAUACCCUGUGUUGUACAUAUAAAUAAAUAUAUAAACUUUGUACAGGGGGCUGGGGAUUUAGCGCAGUGGUACAGCGCCUGCCUGGCAAGUGCAAGGUCGUGAGUUUGAUUCCUGGUGCCGGAGAAAAACCAAAAAAAAAUUUAAAAAUAAAAUAAAUAAACUUUGUACAAAAGCCCAGCCCUGUGUUGUGGUGGCUGCUGUCUAUGUGGUCUGAGUCAGUUGGUAUGUCUGUAUAAUGUUAAUUUCUGAGCCAAAAUCAUGGUGGUUCUAGGGAAAUAAAAUAUAUAUAUAUAAUACCAUUGUAUUUUGUUUUAAAAUUUAGAAAGCAAAAUGGAGCUGAAUAUGGUGGAAAAUACCUGUAGUCCUAGGACUCUGGGAGGCUGACGCAGGAGGACUGCAAGCCCAAGCUCAGCCAGGGCAACUUAGUGAGCUCUGUUCUCCAAAAGAGAUGUAACUCAUCUCAGUAUGUAUUGGGGGUGGGAGACAGCUCACACCUCGAUGGAAUUCCCCGCCUGUGUCUGCAUUACGCUCUCUGCUGCUUGCUUUCCUCCGUGUAGUGUCAUCUUAAGUGCCUCUCCCUACCUACCUGCCCACCAGAUUUCCAGUCUCUUGCUCUAUGCUUGAGGACAAAUCUUAGCUUUCCACCAGAUGGCAGUGUGACUAGCACAUCCUAUACCUUUUUCUAGUGGUGUUCUGUGAUCUUGAGGAGCUUAAGUACCAGAGAAGCCGCUUAAGCUCACAGUCUACCCUGUUGGGCUGACUUUGUGCCUUAUUUUGAUACUGAGUAGUGGAAAUCCCAGUCCAGUACCCCAUGGGGUCUGGGCAUUAGAUACACAUCAGGGACCCCCUGAGCUGAUGCCGCUGCUUCCUGGUUGGUUCUGUCAGCCCUUGCUUUUCCUAUGCGGCUCUGCCUAGAGUACCAGGCUUGGGGCCAGUGGGUUCCGGAGCACUGCUUAUUUCAGUGAUAGUCCUAGGCAUAGGGGAGCAGGUGCACCUGCCCCUGGCUGUUCUGUAUAACAAGGGGUGGGAAAGAGCAUGGCUCACUACCCUAGGAACCAACUGAAAAGAGAAGGCCUGAAUUCAGGGGCAGGGUUCUGUGGGGUUCCUCCAUUCUUUACUGAUCUCUAUGGCAACAGAAUGUUAAGACUUUAUUAUGCUAAAAAUAUGGAUAAUUGCUGUUAGGUUUUAAUUUGUCAGCUCUCAGACUUCUAAGUGGGGUGAUGGUUUCGUGGUGGUGUUUGUCUCAGGUUGUGCCUGCGUGUGCCGUCGGAGGCUGGGGUUCUGGACUUGCUCCUGGGCUUUGCUUGCUGCUCUUCACAGUCAGCCCUAUGCUCUCCGGUCCUAUCCCAGUUUGCUUUCUGGACCCGGGGGAAGGGAAGGAGGAUGCACCAUUUUAAAGUAGGAAUUGCUGGCUCUGAUCCAGUCCCCCAAUAGUAUUGAUUUGGCUGCUAAUGCAUCUUUACAGGUUCAGCAGGGACCAUUUUUGUCAGUCACCCUGAGCCACGCACUGGGACUCCUCAUGGCUGGCUUGGGCUCCUCAGCAUAAUUAUGUGCAGAGCCUUGCUUCCCUGUCCUGCUGAGUCGGCUCGUUUCUGCUUGCUCUCCUCACACUCCCACCUCUGGCUACGUUGGCUUUCCUGAACACCUCCCGCCUCAGCACCUCCUUGCUCCCUGAUUUCCUCAAACAGCUUCUUGCCAGGAGGGAGAUGGUGGAAGUAGGGAAACAUCUAAGACAACUUCUGCUCUGGGCUUACCCCAUAUAAGGUGAAGGCAUCUAGUGGGUGACAGCUAGUGUCAUCGUGCGUGACUCAGUGCCUUCUUGUUACUCAUCCUCCAUAGGGGGUGAUUAGAGUGGAAAGAAGGGGGCAGCGAACAGCCUCUCUGCCCAGCCUACGGCAACAGAAACCUCCCAGCUCUCCCACCACAGCAAGGCUGGCACAGGUAAACUGACCCAGAUUCCUGCCCAGUAGAAUUAGAAUUUCCCUAUCAGGUAUAAGCUCCAGGUAGGAUUUUUAAAAAAAAAAUUUUUUUUUUCCUGUACCAGGAAUCGAACUCACGACCUUGUGCUUGCCAGACAGGCACUGUUGAGCUAAAUCCCCAGCCCCUCCAGGUAGGAUUUUCACCUGACUUUGGACUUGCAGCCUCCACUUCUGUCUUCCCAAGGCAGCACCCUUCCUUUACUCCUUUAACUGCUGUGUAUUGGCAUAGGAGCUCUGCCUUCCCCCUCCUCCGCCUCCAGCUCUGGCUGUGAGCUGUCAGCAGGGCUCACAGAGGCCUGACCUGUGAACCUUUAGUCUGGCCCUUACUAUGAGGGGAAAUGGGUUAAAAAUGUGAAGAGAGAAAUCACACCACAGUCCACCUUUCCCCUGUGAAGAAGGGCUGAUGGGAAUAAAGGGGGAACACGUGGACAGUGAAAAGAAGCAAUUGUGGCUCAGAAAAAUGAGAAAGUAGAAGGUGGCGUGAUGAUGACUGCUAUGUUUGUGCAGGGUUUGUUGGUCAGGCCCAAUUCUGACCAUUGUGCCUGUAUUAAAUAAUGUUAUUCUCACAAGUGUCUCAAGGUGAACUGUUUUGUCUACUUUGAAAGUGAAGUUGGUACCCAAAGUGACUGAGUGAUGAAUGUGUU